AUCGGCAGCAGAGAAAAGGCGUCAGCUGAUCCAGGAGUCGAAGUUCUUGGGUGGUGAUAUGGAGCACACUCACUUGGUGAAGGGUUUGGAUUUCGCCCUGCUACAGAAGGUCAGAGCUGAAAUCACUAAUAAGGAGCGAGAAGAAGAGGACAUGAUUGAGAAAGUGCAGAAGGAAGUCAAGAAAGAUGAAGAUCCAGAGCAGAAGAUUGAGUUCAAGACUCGUCUGGGUGAG